CUUCUGUAGUUUGAUACUGUAAAUUAACGAUGCACAUAACGGCUUCUUAAUAUUGUCACAUAUAGUAUCUUUUAGCCGAAAAGUGUAAAUUACUCAAAGUAAAUGAUAUGCUUGAAAAAGUAGUUAAAAUUUAACAGUUAAUAUCUACAGAUACUUAUAUCGUCGACAACAUGAUUAUAGGUUCAAAAUUUGAGGUAAGUCAUUUAAACGAUGCACGGCGGUUUACAAACUUGAAAGAUAAAACAAUAAAACAAAAUCAAUUUAUCAGAAACGAAACAGAGAGGAAUAAGAUACAAAUGAAAAUUCAAACUCAUAAGUCUAAAAGGAACCGACAAUGCCACUACAAAAAAAACCAAGAAGCAAACAAAAGACAAACACAUAUAUUAACAAUCCUUUCGAAAAAAAAGGCUUUAUCUCAUAAAAAUAAGCACACCUUGGAUUUAGUGUCAAGUAAACCUUAGCUAUUCAGCUUCCCAUUGCACAAUGUGACGAAAAAAGUAUUGCCCUAGAACAUCUUUCAUUAACAUUUCCGGAAGGAUGGAGUAGGGUGUCCGACCCCAACUUUGGACUUAGUUUAAAAAGAAAAUAAGCCCAAGCACACCCUGGAGUUUUUGUCCAGUAAACUUUAGCUAUUCAACUUCCAAUUGCACCUAGUGGCGAAAAAAGUAUUGCCGUAAAACAUUUUUUAUUUACAUUUCCGUAAGGGUAGGGUAAGGUCUCCGACCCCAACUUUGGACUUAAUUAAAGAAAAAUCUAAGCCGAAUCACACCCUUGAUUUAUUGUCAAGUAAACCUUAGCUAUCCAGCAUCCCAUUGCACCAAAUGGCGAAAAAAGUAUUUCCGUAAAAUAUUUUUUAUUGACAUUUCCGUAAUGGUGGGGAGAGGUGUCAGACCCCAACUUUGGACCCAAUUUAUAAAAAAAGAGGCCAAAGCACACCCUGGAUUUUUUGUCAAGUAAACUUUAGCUAUUCAGCUAUCCGAAUCAGUUAGUGGCGAAAAAAUUAUUGCCGUAAAACAUUUUUUAUUGACAUUUCUGUAAGGGUGGGGUAGGGUGUCCGACCCCAACUUUGGACCUGAUUUAAAAAAAAGAAUAAGCCGAAGCCCACCCCUUGAAUAAAUGACAAGUAAACCUUAGCUAUUCAGCUUCCCAUUACACCUACUGGCGAAAAAAGUAUUGCCAUAGAACAUUUUUUAUUAACAUUCCGUAAGGGAAGGGUAGGGUGUCCAACCCCAAAUUAGGACCUUAAUAAAAAAAAACUAAGCCGAAGCACACCCUGAAUUUAUUGUCAAGUAAACCUUAGCUAUUCAGCUUCCCAUUGCACCUAGUAGUUAAAAAAGUAUUGUAAGGGUGAGGUAGGGUGUCCGACCCCAACUUUGGACUAAUUUAAAAAGAAAAAAAGCCGAAGCACACCCGAAUUUAUUGUCAAGUAAACUGUAGCUAUUCAGGUUCCCAUUGCACCUACUGGCAAAAAAAAAGUAUUGCCGAGGACCUUUUUACUUACAUUUCCGUAAGAACUUUAUUAAAAAAAUAAACUAAGCCGAAGCACACCCUUGAUUUAUUGUCACGUAAACCUAGCUAUCCAGCUUCCCAUUGCACCAAGUGGCGAAAAAAGUAUUGCCGUUCAAUAUUUUUUAUUGAUAUUUCCGUAAUGGUGGGGAGAGAUGUCCGACACGAAUUUGGACCUAAGGUAUAAAAAAAAUAAGCCGAAGCACACCUUGGAUUUUUUUUUUCAAGUAAACUUUAGUCAUUCAGCUUCAUAUUUCACAUAGUGGCGAAACUAGUAUUGCCGUAGAACAAUUGUAUGAACCUUUCCGUUCGGGUGGGGUAGGGUGUCCAAUCCAAACUUUGGACCUAAUAUAAAAAAAAAUUAAGCCGACGCACACCCUGGAUUUUUUGUCAUGUAAACCUUAGCGAUUCAGCUUCCCAUUGCACCUGCUGGCGAAAAAAGUGCCAUAAAACAUUUUUUUUGUAACAUUUCCGUAAGGGAGGGUAGGGUGUCCGACCCCAAAUUUGGACUUAAUUAAAAAAAAAACUAAGGCGACGCACACCCUGAAUUUAUUGUCAAGUACACUUUAGCUAUUCAGCUUCCCAUUGCACCUAGUUUCGAAAAGAGUUUUGCCGUAGAACAUUUUUUAUUAACAUUUCCGUAAGGGUGGGGUAAGGUGUCUGACCCCAACUUUGGACUUAAUUUAAAAAAAAAACUAAGCCGAAGCACACCCUUGAAUUAUUGUAAAGUAAAUCUUAACUAUUCCGCUUCCCAUUGCACCUAGUGGCGAAAAAAGUAUUGCCGUAAAACAAUUUUCAUUAACAUUUCCGUAAGUUAGGGGUAAGAUGUCCUACCCAAACUUUGGAACUUAUUUUAAAACAAAAUAAGCCGAAGCACACCCUGAAUUUUUUGUCAAAUAAACUUUAGCUAUUCAGCUUCACAGUGCCACAUAGUGGUGAAAAAAGUAUUGCCGUAGAAGAUUUUUGUUAACAUUUCCGUAAGAGUGGGGUAGGUUGAAUAACACAACCAGUGCUCCAUGUGGAUAAUGGUCUUUAUACUCUUGUUUAGCACCUUAGAUAAUUUUCAGUUUUUUGAUUGGGCUCAUGUUGCUCAGUCCUUAGUUUUUGUGUUUAAAUUUUGUGUGAAAUGUUUCGUCUUUUUGUCGUUUAUCGUAUUUUUCAAUUACUUUGUCAAUUUUAUUUCGACUGUAUAUAUUUGAUAUCCCUUUUGUAUCUUUCGCCUCUAUUUUAAAUACCUAUACUGGUCUUUAUGAUGAAUGUAUUAUUUACAACCACUUGGUCGAUGCCACUGCUGGUGGAGUUUUCAUUCCACCGAGGGUAUAAUCAGCCCAGUAGUCAGCACUUCUGUGUUGACAUGAAUUAUCAUUGAUAUGGUCAUAAUUUAAAACUGUUCACAAAGCUUUGAAUGUUUGAAAAACAAAGGCUUUUUUUACUUUAAACAAUAGAUUAUCUAAGCUGUAUUUGGCAAAACUUUGAAGAUUUUUUGGUUCUUAAAGCUCUUCAACUUUGUACUUUAUAUUUACUUUUUAACAUUUCUUAUUCGAGCGUCUCUGACGAGUCUCCUGUAGACAGAACGUGUGCCUGGCGCAAAUUUGAAUUCUGGUAUCUAUGAUGAUUUUAUUUACAUAAGCUAUUGAAAGCAGCUCCCAUGACACAAUGUAUUUCUUUGAACAUUAUUUUUUCAUAUAUUAUCAAUAAAAAUUAAGAUGAGACUAACUGAAGGAAUAGCAUAAACUCUAAAAGAAAUGAGGCCGGUAACUUUGACAAUAUCAAAGUCACAGGAUCUGCAUCAUUCACUCACCAUGUGAAUCCGUAAUCAGUCAAGCAAUUUGUAUUGGGUAUAACAUUCAAUCACUAUAAUUACAUAUUAUACGACUUUGAUCAUCUAAGACAUCGAAAACAUAUCGGAAGAGAGUCGAGACACAUACAUAUCGUAUCAUGCAACUAAUUCGCGAAGGUGAAUUUGAAACUUAUAAAGUGUCGAUUUCAGUCGUUCUUUCUCAGUUGAAGCAGAUUUUGUGUAUUCUGCUUUGAUACGCAGUCAGCAUAUUAACAACACCCAAAGGAUCAAGUAGAUAUGGAGCAGACCGUCCGGUGAUAAUUACACCCUUAAUAUUAUAUUGUAAACAUGAUACAAGGACGCACUGAUACGUGGGUUAUUAUGAAGUUACUGGUCAUCAUCAAUAUAUGUAAAGGUGAAAUUCAAGAACCUUGAAAAUUUCUUUUUUUAUGUUUUUAAGAUGGUUUUGCAUGACUGUUAAUUCCUUUGAAGACAAAACCGUGUCAACUUGUAGUGACGCACUUUUAGUACAUAUUGGAAUAUCCACUGUCUGCUGAAAUGAUGAUGUCAUUCUUGGUAAAAACAAAUCUGGAAUCGUUACAGUUUUUUCACAAUGAUAUAUUUUCUAGGGCAUACAACAUGAUAUGUGUACCAAAGAACUAUUAUAAAUAAAACUCUGCUUAAUGAGACGAUGUACUUAAUACUUCAAUAAAGUAACGAGGACAGUAAUGUGUAGCGUAAGAAAAUCAACGCAUUUAUUACUCCUUUGUUUUUAUUAAAAUUGUAAAAUGUGUGAUGAACAUUAGAUCGGUAAAUUUUUCAAUAAUUCACACCUGAUGACACCGCCUAUGGUUAUAUUGCAUCACACAAUUUAUGUGGUAAAGUUUUUGUGACGGUUAAAAGGGAGACGAAAGAUACCAAGGAACAUUCAAACUCAUAUGUCAAAAAAGCUUAGCCUGUAAUGAAGUGGUUGUUGAUAGUUGCUGUGUAUCAUAUUUGCUUCAUUUAUAGCUUUUGUAAUUUCUUGUGAAAAUAAUUCCAUCGUGUUUGCAAUGAUUUAGCAUAACUCUUAAAGACAUGAAUUAAGUAUUUGAUGUAUAGAUUGUGUGAUUUUAGAUUAAAAACGUAUUAUUGACGGAUACGUGCCAUCAUUUUCCCGUCCAUAGACUUCUG
rnacentral:lncRNA from 1 species